UACAACGCACUACCUGUUCAUAGUAGUCGUUGCUGUCAACAGCACACUGCUCACCAUCAACGCAGGGGACUACAUCUUCUACACAGACUGGGCGUGGACGUCCUGCGUUGUGGUUUCGGUGGCGCAGGUAACGGUAACUGAAGUAGACGCACUAGACUACAUCUGUUCAAAAGUGAUUGCAGUAUCCGCAACCAUUAACUCCACUAACAUUCCACUCAACAAAUGGUUGGCAAUAGGCGCAUGGUGGUUACAUGGCUACCCGAUCGUCUCCAUCCGGACGACAAGCCGCAACAAGCAAGCUGCAAUACUAAUUGGGGGUACGCUGGUUGGCCUAUCCUUCCCGCUGUUCAACAUGGUCAACCUGUUGCUUGUAAGGGACCCUCUCGAGGUGGCCUUCAAGUAUCCGAGACCGACUCUGCCCGCGUACAUGACGCCUAUAGAGCAUAAGGUAGGGAAGUUCUACAACUCGCCUGUCGGCCUGGGUUCAGGUGCCGGUGCAGUGCUAACGGUACCCAUAGCUGCGUUGGGUGCAAAACUAAAGACGUGG
rnacentral:rRNA from 1 species